GACGAACGCUGGCGGCGUGCUUAACACAUGCAAGUCGAACGCUGAAGCUUGGUGCUUGCACUGGGUGGAUGAGUGGCGAACGGGUGAGUAAUACGUGAGUAACCUGCCCUUGACUCUGGGAUAAGCCUGGGAAACUGGGUCUAAUACUGGAUACGACAUGCCACUGCAUGGUGGUGUGUGGAAAGGGUUUUACUGGUUUUGGAUGGGCUCACGGCCUAUCAGCUUGUUGGUGGGGUAAUGGCCUACCAAGGCGACGACGGGUAGCCGGCCUGAGAGGGUGACCGGCCACACUGGGACUGAGACACGGCCCAGACUUCUACGGGAGGCAGCAGUGGGGAAUGUUGUACAAUGGGCGGAAGACUGAGGCAGCGACGCCGCGUGAGGGAUGACGGCCUUCGGGUUGUAAACCUCUUUCAGCACGGAAGAAGCGAGAGUGACGGUACGUGCAGAAGAAGCGCCGGCUAACUACGUG
rnacentral:rRNA from 1 species